CGAACAGCUGUUGCCAUUAUCAGUUGUCAUCGUUUUUCUCCUCAAUAAAACUGAACAGAAAUGUUCAGUAAAAGAAAUACGAGCCUCCAUCUUGUUUGAAGAAGCUUUCACUCUGUAACACUGGGCAGUGAUAAUGACCAUCAAGAGCUGCUUCCUCUCUUCUGCAGUGUAGCUGGAGAACCAUGGUGGUGACUAGAGGCUGCACACCUUGGAGGGCGUGACUGUCGGUGCACCUGUGAUUCAUCACUCAGUCAUCCCGGAGUAUAUGAAAAGCAGGCUGCCAGCACUUAAUCGCUUGAGUGUUUGCCAGUUACGGUGUUUCCUUGUGACGCCUUGGAAAUUCCCCUGUGAAGCCCGAGACCUGGCUGUCUAAAUUUCCCCCCUCGUGACGCCGUGGAUUGUUACCCAUUGGUUGCCUGAGUACCUUCUUCGCCCCUGCAGACCUUCAAUAAACCUUUUCUGGAUUCUCA